rnacentral:rRNA from 1 species
AACCCGCCUGCAUGAAGUUGGAAUCGCUAGUAAUCGCGGAUCAGAAUGCCGCGGUGAAUACGUUCCCGGGUCUUGUACACACCGCCCGUCACACCAUGGGAGUCGGAAAUGCCCGAAGCCGGUGACCCAACCCGAAAGGGAGGGAGCCGUCGAAGGCAGGUCGGAUGACUGGGGUGAAGUCGUAACAAGGUAGC